rnacentral:rRNA from 1 species
UACAGAGGUCCCGAGCGUUGUUCGGAUUCAUUGGGCGUAAAGGGUGCGUAGGCGGCUGGGUAAGUUUGAUGUGAAAUCCUGGGGCUCAACCCUGGAACUGCAUUGAAUACUGCUCGGCUAGAGUACUGGAGAGGAAACUGGAAUUCACGGUGUAGCAGUGAAAUGCGUAGAUAUCGUGAGGAAGACCAGUGGCGAAGGCGAGUUUCUGGACAGUUACUGACGCUGAGGCACGAAGGCCAGGGGAGCAAAACGGG